ensembl:lncRNA novel transcript
GCCUUUAUCUUUUAGUUUUUAAGAUCAUUUCUCUCCCUCCUUUCCCCCCAGUUUUCUCAACAUUUAUGAGUUAGUUCUGCUGAGAACAACAUACUUCAGAACAUGUCAGGAUAGGGCAGUUUUUUCUUGUUUUUCUUUUUUCUUUUUUUGAGACAGUCUUGCUCUGUUGCCCAGGCUGAGGCAGGAGAAUCGCUUGAACCUGGGAGGCAGAGGUUGCAGUGAGCCGAGAUCGCACCACUGAAUUCCAGCCUGGGCGACAGAGUGAGUCUGUUUUUUUUUUGUUUUUUUUUAAAGUCAACACAAAUAUUGAAAAUAAGCAACUUCAGUGCACAAAUAAGCUCAAAAUCACUAGUGAGUGAUCUAUUUUUUGCCAAUAAGAAGUACCAUUUGUACAUGACUUAAAGUGCCUUCCACCAAGAAAAUUAUUGAAAACUGUUGGGUCACAUAACAUUCCUACACUUUGGAUACAGAGUAUUUAGUUUUAUACAAAAUUAAGACAACAAGAAACCUAGGAUGUCCAAACAUUCAUUUCAUUUAUUUUACUGCAUUUAUUUAUGCAGUGAAAAUUGAAAGAUACACCAAAUUAAAGAUAAAAC